CCCUAGAGUGUUAGCUAGUCGAUAAGUCCUCGAGCCGAUAAUCUUUAACCGGAGGUCACUCGCUGAUGUUGAUGUGCAUGUCCGCGCGACGGAAAGCCUAAUGCGUUUCAGUGACCCCCACCUUGAACCAUCGGGUUCAAGGCCAAGUUGACGGCGGCACUCCGGGGC
rnacentral:other from 1 species